GCAGUUGCGUACAAAUAAUGUAUGAGGAAAGUCCGAGCAUCACAGAGCAGGAUAACGGCUAACAGCCGCCGAGGGCGACCUUAGGGAAAGUGCAACAGAAAUAUACCGCCACUUUUGUGGUAAGGAUGGAAAGGCGAGGUAAGAGCUCACCAGCAUAUACGAGAGUAUAUGGCUCUGUAAACCCUAUCCGAUGCAACAUUGACAGGGGGCUUCACGUCUGCUCGGCGUUACCCCGAAGAAUGGCUUGAAACGAGUGGCAACGCUCGUUCUAGAAAGAUAACUGCGCACGACAGAACUCGGCUUAUCGAUUUACUCG
rnacentral:RNase_P_RNA from 1 species